rnacentral:rRNA from 1 species
GAUGAACGCUGGCGGCGUGCCUAAUACAUGCAAGUCGAGCGAAGCGGGGACGGGUGAGUAACACGUGGAUAACCUCCUAUAAGACUGGGAUAACUUCGGGAAACUGGAGCUAAACCGGGUACUUAUAGAUGGAUCUGAGCUGCAUUAGCUAGUUGGUAAGGUAACGGCUUACCAAGGCAACGAUGCAUAGCCGACCUGGGAGGUGAGUCGGCCACUGGAACUGGGACGCAGGCCAGACUCCUGCGGGAGGCAGCAGUAGGGAAUCUUCCGCAAUGGACGAAGGGCUGACCGAGCAACGCCGCGUGAGUGAAGAGGGUUUUCGGAUCGUGGAACUCUGUUGUUAGAGUAGCGGUAUCUAACCAGAAAGCCAUGGCUAACUACGUGCCAGCGGCAGCGGUAAUAC